GACGCACGCUGGCGGCGUGCUUAACACAUGCAAGUCGAACGAAGUGGCGAACGGGUGAGUAACGCGUAAUCAACCUGCCCUUCCGAGGGGGAUAACAGUUGGAAACGACUGCUAAUACCGCAUACUGAAGGAGGGGAUUGCGUCUGAUUAGCUAGUUGGAGGGGUAACGGCCCAACAAGGCGAUGCUCAGUAGCCGGUCUGAGAGGAGGAACGGCCAAAUUGGGAAUGAGAAACGGCCCAGACUCCGACGGGAGGCAGCAGUGGGGAAGCUUCCGCAAUGGACGAAAGUCUGACGGAGCAACGCCGCGUGAGUGAUGACGGCCUUCGGGUGGUAAAGCUCUGUUAAUCGGGACGCGGUACCGGAAUAGAAAGCCACGGCUAACUACGUGCCAGCAGCCGCAGUAAUAC
rnacentral:rRNA from 1 species